rnacentral:rRNA from 1 species
CUAAGUGGGCUUGAUUGUGGGAAAAAACUCCAUAGUUAAGCGCGCUUGUGCCAGAGGCGUCUUGGGAUGGGUGACCACCUGGGAAGUCCUGGUUACCGGGU